UACGAAGGGGGCUAGCGUUGCUCGGAAUCACUGGGCGUAAAGCGCACGUAGGCGGAUUGCUAAGUCAGGGUGAAAUCCUGGAGCUCAACUCCAGAACUGCCUUUGAUACUGGCGACCUUGAGUCCGGGAGAGGUGAGUGGAACUGCGAGUGUAGAGGUGAAAUUCGUAGAUAUUCGCAAGAACACCAGUGGCGAAGGCGGCUCACUGGCCCGGUACUGACGCUGAGGCGCGAAAGCUAGGGGAGCAAACGGG
rnacentral:rRNA from 1 species